rnacentral:lncRNA from 1 species
GUCCGCACUGCGGACAAUCGCAGCGGAAGCCGUUGGGGUUUUCGAUCGAGCCCAGCCUCGACGCGCACGAGUCGCUGUUAAAGGCAUAGAGCGAGGCCAGCGUGAGGUUGGACGGCACGACACGGCCGCACGAUCCGCCCAGGACAAAGUAGGUCGCCUGCGUCAUGUUGGCCACGUGCACGUCGCAAAAGACGGCACAGUCCUUGAGCGCGCAGUCGGUCCUGCAGAAGCGGUCGACAUUCACGGAAAAGAUCUUGAAGCGCUGGCCGUACGAGAUGAUCGGACUGCCGCCAAACUCGACGGCCAGGGUCUGGUGGGCGGCCAUCAGCGCGCACACGGCCAGCACGGCCGCGACCGUAAACACGCACGCGGCGCGGCGGGAAACUGUUGCACGAGACAUUGUAGGGCGAGGGUGUACGAGGAGCGUAAAAAGGUAGGCGCUGCUGCUUUUGUUGGCGCUACAAAUAGAGGGUCGACGAGGUGCACGAGGCCGAGCGAGGAUGAUGCUAAAAGUAGACGCACUGCUCUCUAUUUUAUCGUCGGGCGCCGUUCGCGCCAAAGGCGGAGCACCCCUGCGUUGAUUGGCUGCGGUGCGACAAAAACACACGCCGCACCGACAUAGAGACAAACAAAAAUCCCAGGUCGCCAAUGGCCGUGGUCGUUGUCCCGCCUCGGGCGUGCGCCCCUCGCAUGGCCCAAAAAACCAAAGAAAAAAUAGAUGUGGG